CUGGCUCAGGAUGAACGCUGGCGGCGUGCUUAACACAUGCAAGUCGAACGAUGAAGCCCAGCUUGCUGGGUGGAUUAGUGGCGAACGGGUGAGUAACACGUGAGCAACCUGCCCCUGACUCUGGGAUAAGCGCUGGAAACGGCGUCUAAUACUGGAUACGAGUAGCGAUCGCAUGGUCAGUUACUGGAAAGAUUUUUUGGUUGGGGAUGGGCUCGCGGCCUAUCAGCUUGUUGGUGAGGUAAUGGCUCACCAAGGCGUCGACGGGUAGCCGGCCUGAGAGGGUGACCGGCCACACUGGGACUGAGACACGGCCCAGACUCCUACGGGAGGCAGCAGUGGGGAAUAUUGCACAAUGGGCGGAAGCCUGAUGCAGCAACGCCGCGUGAGGGAUGACGGCCUUCGGGUUGUAAACCUCUUUUAGCCAGGGAAGAAGCGAAAGUGAC
rnacentral:rRNA from 1 species